rnacentral:tRNA from 1 species
GCCGGAGUGACGAAAUUGGCAGACGUAGCAGACUCAAAAUCUGCCGAGGGCAACCUCGUGUCGGUUCGAGUCCGACCUCCGGCACCA